AACCAUUUUCUUGCAUUUUUUGGUUCUUGAGUAAUCCCUAUUGCUAUAUAAGAGGAGUUGAGGUAUUUAAAUUUCACAACAUAUUGGGUUCUAUCAGGAAGGGGAUUGAAUCUCACAGAUUAGCUCAGGAUCAAGACCUCCAUCAAAGAGAAGAAAAAUUAUGAAGAAAGUGCAAAACAAAGCUCGCCCAAUUAAAUAGCAUGCUGUACAAAACUAUCCAACUUUUGCUAUUUUGAUGCCUACUUCCUACUAUAAACAUCUCAAUGUAUAUACAAACAAGUGUAGUAUUUUAACAUAACAAGUAGCCUGUAAAAUAUGUUAUUACAUGCUUUUUUGCAACUUACACUCCUUUAGUUAAACAUAAUGUUAUAAAUUAAAUCUCAUUGUAUAUAUAAACAA